rnacentral:lncRNA from 1 species
GCUUUCAUGUAAAAGCACCUACACCCAGGCCCCCCCCACCCACGAACAGCUUCGUGGACAGUUUACUCAGACUGAGUCGAAGGUAAUUUUAAGGUAGUUUCGGGAUAUUACCCAAGUAUGGCCCAGCUGGAAGGUGGACAUCGGGGGGAGGGCUCAGAAACACCAAAGUCCAACCUUCUCCACCUCACAGAUGGAGAAACUGAGCCCGAGAGAGAGAAGAGGAGUCAGCUGAGCCUCCCCCAGAUAAGACAAUCGCCAAAUAUUCUGGGACCUUGCUGGGGGCAGACAGCCCUCCCUGCCCAGCAAUGGGCCUUUGGGAUGUGGCACAAGCUCCCGGGAAACCAGGAGUGACAAGGGCGCCUGUCCCUGAGGAGUGGAGAGCGCGGAGUUGGUGCUGAGUCAGCCCUGAUGUGGCAGAGGAGGAGCAGGCCCCCGCAGAACCAGGGAAACGUCAUCUCCACCGCUCAACCAGCCCAACCCUGGAGUGCUGUGGAAGCCGCUCUCAGAUCCCUUGGCAGCCCCCCAGGUGCAGGUCGUGGCUGCCCCUGCCCCGCUCAGUCCCUGCACAGCCACCAGCUGGCUGCCUGGGACCCCUUGAAGCCAAGCCUGAGGAGCUACCCACCACACCUGCUUCAGCACCCUCAGCUCCGCUCCCUCACAGCCAGCUCAGGCCACCUGGGGAGGCGCUCUUGCCCCCAGCCCCGCCCUCUGGAAGAGCU